rnacentral:rRNA from 1 species
AGCGAACGCUGGCGGCAGGCCUAACACAUACAAGUCGAACGAAGUCUUCGGACUUAGUGGCGGACGGGUGAGUAACACGUGGGAACGUGCCUUUAGGUUCGGAAUAACUCAGGGAAACUUGUGCUAAUACCGAAUGUGCCCUUCGGGGGAAAGAUGUAUCGCCUUUAGAGCGGCCCGCGUCUGAUUAGCUAGUUGGUGAGGUAAAGGCUCACCAAGGCUACGAUCAGUAGCUGGUCUGAGAGGAUGACCAGCCACAUUGGGACUGAGACACGGCCCAAACUCCUACGGGAGGCAGCAGUGGGGAAUCUUGCGCAAUGGGCGAAAGCCUGACGCAGCCAUGCCGCGUGGAUGAUGAAGGUCUUAGGAUUGUAAAAUCCUUUCACCGGUGAAGAUAAUGACUGUAGCCGGAGAAGAAGCCCCGGCUAACUUCGUGCCAGCAGCCGCCGUAAUAC